rnacentral:rRNA from 1 species
ACUGCUCAGUAACACGUGGAUAACCUACCCUAAGGAAGGGGAUAACCUCGGGAAACUGAGGAUAAUACCCUAUAGGUUACAGACGCCGGAAUGCCCUGUAACCGAAAGCUCCGGCGCCUUAGGAUGGAUCUGCGGCCGAUUAGGUUGUUGUUGGGGUAACGGCCCAACAAGCCGAUAAUCGGUACGGGUUGUGGGAGCAAGAGCCCGGAGUUGGAUUCUGAGACAUGAAUCCAGGCCCUACGGGGCGCAGCAGGCGCGAAAACUUUACAAUGCGGGAAACCGUGAUAAGGGAACCCCGAGUGCCUGUAUAUGCAGGCUGUCCAGGUGUCUAAAAAACACCUGAAGAAAGGGCCGGGCAAGACCGGUGCCAGCCGCCGCGGUAAUACCGGCGGCUCGAGUGGUGGCCACUUUUAUUGGGCUUAAAGCGUUCGUAGCUGGGUUGUCAAGUCUCUUGGGAAAUCUGACGGCUCAACCGUCAGGCGUCCAAGGGAUACGGGCAAUCUUGGAACCGGGAGAGGUGAGGGGUACUUCGGGGGUAGGAGUGAAAUCCUGUAAUCCUCGAGGGACCACCUGUGGCGAAGGCGCCUCACCAGAACGGCUUCGACAGUGAGGGACGAAAGCUGGGGGAGCAAACCGGAUUAGAUACCCGGGUAGUCCCAGCCGUAAACGAUGCGCGUUAGGUGUAUCGGUGACCACGAGUCACCGAGGUGCCGAAGGGAAACCGUGAAACGUGCCGCCUGGGAAGUACGGUCGCAAGGCUGAAACUUAAAGGAAUUGGCGGGGGAGCAC